rnacentral:lncRNA from 1 species
CUACAAUUUUCUGAGAUGAGUAUUCUAUCUACUCCACUCUUUCUCAAAUCAGCCAUGCUGAGAUGUGCCUGUCUCCAUUAUUGCCCAGAAAAAUGUCACUAAUGGCAUGAAUUAGCAUGUUCUCUUAACUUGAAGAAUAUUACAUCUGCUCUUCCAGGGCAUUCUGAAGAGAAAUCUGACAAUGUCAUACUCAGGAACAGAUUGGCACAAGGGCAAAGUCCUUGUGUCAACUCUCUACUAAUUAGUGUCACCGUAUCAAGACUGAAGAUUCAGCAAAGAUGGGAGGAAGAGCUGAAGGAGGCCUGGGUCACCCUCAAUAUGUUGAAGAG